AUGGCUGGAAUCAAUACAGCGCGGAGCUCCAAACGCGAUGUGGGAAGAGUUUUCUGCAGGUUGCUAUGGUGCAGGUUUGGCAGAAAUCAACACCAAGUGUUAUUUCACAAAUUCCACAGCGUCAACCAAGUCGGCACUGUGGAAGAAUAUGUGGAGCAACUCGCGGAGUUGUAUGAUCAGUUGUCCGCUUAUGAGUCUGGUCCUCAAUCAGUGCAUUAUGUCACCAAGUUCAUUAAUGGGUUGCAGCCAAUAGUGAGAGUGAUGGUGGCCCUGCAUCAGCCGCAAGACUUGGAUGCAGUGUACGAACUAGCCCUGUUACAUGAAACUGUGUCAGUUCCUACUCCUCACCAAGGUACUAGUAUCAAAAGGGAGCAGUACAAUUUGUCGACAACUUCAAUCAAACAUCCAACUGUCAAGUCUGUUGAAGAUGGAAGGAAUAAAUUUGAGUCUCACAAGUAA
rnacentral:rRNA from 1 species